rnacentral:rRNA from 1 species
UGGGGAAUAUUGGACAAUGGGCGCAAGCCUGAUCCAGCCAUGCCGCGUGAGUGAUGAAGGCCCUAGGGUUGUAAAGCUCUUUCACCGGUGAAGAUAAUGACGGUAACCGGAGAAGAAGCCCCGGCUAACUUCGUGCCAGCAGCCGCGGUAAUACGAAGGGGGCUAGCGUUGUUCGGAUUUACUGGGCGUAAAGCGCACGUAGGCGGACUUUUAAGUCAGGGGUGAAAUCCCGGGGCUCAACCCCGGAACUGCCUUUGAUACUGGAAGUCUUGAGUAUGGUCGAGGUGAGUGGAAUUCCGAGUGUAGAGGUGAAAUUCGUAGAUAUUCGGAGGAACACCAGUGGCGAAGGCGGCUCACUGGACCAUUACUGACGCUGAGGUGCGAAAGCGUGGGGAGCAAACAGG